GAUGAACGCUGGCGGCGUGCCUAAUACAUGCCAGUCGAGCGAACAGACGAGGAGCUUGCUCCUCUGACGUUAGCGGCGGACGGGUGAGUAACACGUGGAUAACCUACCUAUAAGACUGGGAUAACUUCGGGAAACCGGAGCUAAUACCGGAUAAUAUAUUGAACCGCAUGGUUCAAUAGUGAAAGACGGUUUUGCUGUCACUUAUAGAUGGAUCCGCGCCGCAUUAGCUAGUUGGUAAGGUAACGGCUUACCAAGGCGACGAUGCGUAGCCGACCUGAGAGGGUGAUCGGCCACACUGGAACUGAGACACGGUCCAGACCCCAACGGGGGGCAGCAGUAGGGAAUCUUCCGAAAGGGGCGAAAGCCUGACGGAGCAACGCCGGGUGAGUGAUGAAGGUUUGCGGAUCGUAAAACUCUUUUAUUAGGGAAGAAAAAAUGUGUAAGUAACUAUGCACGUCUUGACGGUACCAAAGCAGAAAGCCACGGCUAACUACGU
rnacentral:rRNA from 1 species